AUGGAAUCACAGACCCAUGUCCUCAUAUUCCUGUUGCUUGGAGUGUCUGGGAUCUGUGCAGAUAUUGUGAUGACCCAGUCUCCAACUUCCCUGGCUGUGUCAGCAGGAGAGAAGGUUACCAUCAGUUGCAAGUCCAGUCAAAGUCUUUAUUCAAGCACCUACCAGGUGAACUACUUGGCCUGGUACCAGCAGAAACCAGGGCAGGCUCCAAAACUGCUGAUCUACUAUGCAUCCACUCGGCACACUGGGGUCCCCGAUCGCUUCACAGGUGGUGGAUCUGGGACAGACUUCACUCUCAGCAUUAGCAGUGUACAGGCUGAAGACCUGGGAGAUUAUUACUGUGUGAAGCAUUACAGAUCUCCUCACACAAUGCUUUAG